UCCAGACUCCUACGGGAGGCAGCAGUGGGGGAUAUUGCACAAUGGGGGGAACCCUGAUGCAGCGACGCCGCGUGGGUGAGGAAGUACCCCGGUAUGUAAAGCCCUUUCGGCAGGGAAGAAAAUGACGGUACCUGGCGAAGAAGCCCCGGCUAACUACGUGCCAGCAGCCGCGGUAAUACGUAGGGGGCAAGCGUUAUCCGGAUUCACUGGGUGUAAAGGGAGCGUAGACGGCGACGCAAGUCUGGAGUGAAAUCCCGGGGCCCAACCCCGGGACUGCUCUGGAAACUGCGUCGCUGGAGUACGGGAGGGGCAGGCGGAAUUCCUGGUGUAGCGGUGAAAUGCGUAGAUAUCAGGAGGAACACCGGCGGCGAAGGCGGCCUGCUGGGCCGUGACUGACGUUGAGGCUCGAGAGCGUGGGGAGCAAACAGGAUUAGAUACCCCGGUACAU
rnacentral:rRNA from 1 species